rnacentral:rRNA from 1 species
UAAUACGUAGGGUGCGAGCGUUAAUCGGAAUUACUGGGCGUAAAGCGUGCGCAGGCGGUCCGCAAAGUCUGAUGUGAAAGCCCCGGGCUCAACCUGGGAACUGCAUUGGAAACUAACGGGCUCGAGUGUGGCAGAGGGGGGUGGAAUUCCACGUGUAGCAGUGAAAUGCGUAGAGAUGUGGAGGAACACCGAUGGCGAAGGCAGCCCCCUGGGCUAACACUGACGCUCAGGCACGAAAGCGUGGGGAGCAAACAGGAUUAGAUACCCUGGUAGUCCACGCCCUAAACGAUGUCGACUGGUUGUUGGGGGUUUGACACUCUCAGUAACGAAGCUAACGCGUGAAGUCGACCGCCUGGGGAGUACGGCCGCAAGGUUA